GUCCCUAUCUCUUAAGAGGUCCAGAGUCUUGGAAAGUCCACAGUACUUUGAAAGCUUGAUGUUUCCUUACUGCCACCAAAGGAGUGUAGGAAAAAUCUGAAAUCCCCCAGAUUGGAAAAUAUCCUGUGAAUACACAUUUUUCUGACUGCUCCAUGUCAUCAGAUGUCUUUAUCUUCAGCUGCAGUUCUCUGAGAGAUACUGGGGUAUGCAGGAUGCAGAAGAAGGUCUUAGUUUCACUGCACAGUUUGACAGGCUUCCCAUUCAUCUUUUGUUGGAGAAAAUAAAAAAAAAAGAGCUGUUGCCUUGAGUGCUGCUACACAAGAUGAAAACCCGUGACUGGCAAGAGAUUGCUUACAGCUGUCAGGUGAGGUUUACGAAAAUGUAUGAACCCAAAGUAUGCCAUGAGGACUCUGGGAUAUCCCCAUCCCUAUAAGACUCUGGAAGAAAUAUAACCAUGGGUCAGAUUCCUCCUGCCCUGCUUGGUACUGGAAUAAAAUGUGUCUUCCACCACCUAACUCGUGGGGCUUCUCACUCAGGCAAAUCUUGCUAUGAUGCUUUCUCUUCAAGAGUGCCACCAUGCAGACAAGAAAGGGAGCCUGGAGCAAGACUACACAUCCCAGUAUGUCCCACACCAUAUGGGAUGGUGCGGGAGACAUCUGCCCAGUGCUUGAUCAGUCGGUUUGGGGAGUGUCUCCCAGCUGCACUCCUGACGCUCCUCUCUUGUGGCCUACUAUUUUUCUGUUGUUUUUCAUGUUGCAGUGUCAUCCUCCAGAGGCACUUACAGCUUUAUAUGUUUACUUUCCACCUUUCCCACCCUUUGUGGGGCAUUGUCACCCAACAGAAGUCUGGAAAAAAGAAGGUCAUUGAAGGCCAGAUGGAAGAUUUCCCUGAUAUCGGUAGCAGCAAGCAUAAUAAGAGACUUGGCUUUAACUUCUGCAGUACAGCAGAGGAACCUUCUGAAAUGGAGAUGGUUUUAGCAGCACAAGAAUUGUCCUUGGCAUGCAAGCCCAUGAACUAUACUCACUCUUUUUGGUAUGAUUGAGAAGAAACUGGAGAUGGAAGCAUACUCUGUGACCUGGAACAGCUGGUGGUACCAUGAAAGGAAGUGAUAUUGGGACUCAUAGCUGUUGGAGUGGGUUUGUACUGAGGCCAGAGCUGCUGUGCAGAUCUGCUCACAAGCUGGAAAAACAACCAGUGGGCCUAUUAUUACUGUUAUUAUUGGAGAGGGUAAGAAAAAGGCAUAUGUCCAUUUCAGAGCUUAAAAGCAUUAACAAUCUCCAUAAUAUGCAGUGCUGUUCUUGCUGACAUGAUUAGUUUUCAAAAGAGUCUGCAUGAUCAUCAGAUUUUGAAAAUAUAAGAAAUUAUUUCCUAGAAACCUUCCUUUACAAAAUUGGUUAGUUAAAUGUUGUGUAAAUUAUACUCCUGUUGUUUUAAUCCACGGGCUAUUAGCAGACAUUGGGGUAUCACAGUAAUGCUGUGCACAGAGAAUCAAUUUAUGAUUAUCCUGUACUGUUUUUCAAUGACCUGAAAUUGUGCACUGAACAGGAACAUAUAUUGUUUUAAUUAUCUUGGUCACACUCUCAGCUUUAUAAAACUUGCUGCAGGUUCAUCAACUCAGAUCCAGGUAUAAUUCAUAUUGGUCACAAGAAUAUUAUUUAAGAAUAUAAUGGCACC
rnacentral:lncRNA from 1 species